rnacentral:piRNA from 1 species
UAAGAUGAUGUUUUAGUUGUAGCAUGUA